rnacentral:rRNA from 1 species
ACGUAGGGGGCAAGCGUUGUCCGGAAUGAUUGGGUGUAAAGGGUGCGUAGGCGGCCUGGUAAGUCUGCAGUGAAAGCCUUGAUCUUAAGGGGGGAAAUGCCUUGGAUACUGUCGGGCUUGAGUGCAGGAGAGGUAAGUGGAAUUUGCGGUGCAGCGGUGAAAUGCGUAGAGAUCGGGAGGAACACCAGUGGCGAAGGCAACUUACUGGACUGUAACUGACGCUGAGGCGCGAAAGUGUGGGGAACAAACAG